rnacentral:rRNA from 1 species
UAAUCCGACCUAGGCUCAUCUGAUAGCGCAAGGCCCGAAGGUCCCCUGCUUUCUCCCGUAGGACGUAUGCGGUAUUAGCGUUCCUUCCGAAACGUUGUCCCCCACUACCAGGCAGAUUCCUAGGCAUUACUCACCCGUCCGCCGCUGAAUUCAGGAGCAAGCUCCUGUCAUCCGCUCGACUUGCAUGUGUUAGGCCUGCCGCCAGCGUUCAAUCUGAGCCAGGAUCAAACUCU